CAGCCGCCGCGGUAAUACGGAGGGGGCUAGCGUUGUUCGGAAUUACUUGGCGUAAAGCGUGCGUAGGCGGUUCGUUAAGUCUGUUGUGAAAGCCCCGGGCUCAACCUGGGAAUGGCAAUGGAUACUGGCGAGCUAGAGUGUGUCAGAGGAUGGUGGAAUUCCCGGUGUAGCGGUGAAAUGCGUAGAGAUCGGGAGGAACAUCAGUGGCGAAGGCGGCCAUCUGGGACAACACUGACGCUGAGGCACGAAAGCGUGGGGAGCAAACAGGAUUAGAUACCCCAGUAGUCCCUGUCUCUUAUAC
rnacentral:rRNA from 1 species